rnacentral:piRNA from 1 species
UGGCUUCNGUAGCUUCUCCAUGCCAAUUGC